UUGUCUGACUCAACUCUCUGACCCCAGCUAGUUUUCCUCUCGCAAAUACUAUAUAAGAUGCUGUACAAACUUGUUUGGCAUAAGUCACCAGUUCAUACAAGACCUACUGGUCCCAGCCAUUGCUUUUGUCUUCUUUAUUUAUCAUCCCCAGUCCUCCCAACUCAACAACUCGCCUUUCAGGACCCUUAUUCCUGUCGGUUCAGGAUGAGCAGAACAAAGGGGGAAUGAAUCAUCAUGAGUGAGUAUGGCCAUGUGACUAGUAUAAUUGGAAGACCCAAACCCUCCAUUUUCAGAGAUACCUUGGACCCUUAUCAGUCUUUUGGGAAUUGAUUUAAGAAAGCCAAAGGCUAUGGAUUUGUUCCAGAUUAAGAUACAUCAGGUUUGACCAGCCAAGAUCCCCUGAAAGGUCUCCGAUGACACCAUGGCCCAGAUGAUCCAACAUCCAGAAUGGUUUGAAGGCAUCUGGCUCAGACAAUACAGCCUCAUGGACUAUUCCAUAAUCCUAAAAUUUUCUUUGUGUCCCCAUAAGAUACAGCGCCCCCCUCCAGCAGGAAGUAGUAAGAGAAGCUACGCCCAAAUUCCCAAAUUAUAUGUAAUUUUACUUUGUUAAAGUUAAAACCUUCCUUUUUGAAAAAAAAAAAGAAAGAAAGAAAGAAAGAAAAGGAGAAGUGCUGUGGGAUGUUCUGUAUGGCAAAUGUGUUGCUCUGAUUGGUUAGUAAAUAAAACACUGAUUGGCCAGUAGUCAGGCAGGAAGAAGUAUAGGCGGGACAAGGAGGAGAAGAAUUCUGGGAAGUGAAAGACUGAGUCAGAGACUGCCAGCUGCCACCAUGACAAGCAGCAGGUGAAGAUGCCGGUAAGCCACAAGCCAUGUGGCAAGGUAUAGAUUUAUGGAAAUGGAUUAAUUUAAGAUGUAAGAACUGGAUAGCUAGAAGCCUGAGCCAUUAGGCCAAACAGUUUAAACAAUGUAAGUCUUUAUGUGUUUACUCGGUUGGGUCAAAGUGGCUGUGGGACUGGCGGGUGAGAGAGAUUUGUCCUGACUGUGGACCAGGCAGGACUGGAGAAAACUCCAGCUACACUCACCAAACUCUAAGAUAUUCCCUUUACAAGUCCUUGCAGGUUUUGCAGGAAGUUCACCAGGCUAUUGGCCAGACAGUGAAGGAAAUCCUGCCAUCUCCCACCUCUGAACCUACCCACCAGUUCCAGCCAGGAGACUUGGUUUGGAUAAAAAGGAUCCCUGCCUGGACCCUGGAACCUGUCUGGAAGGGGUCCUACCCAGUCAUCCUCACCACCCCAAUUGCUGCCAAAGCAGCUAGUGUUGUCCAUUGAAAAAGGCCACUUUGGAAAUUAUGGAAUAACUGUCACUUGGACAGUUCAGGCCCCUUAAAAAUAAGACUGACCAGAGUUUACUAACCUGGGAUACACAAUCCCUAUCACCCCCAAACCUGGAUGUGGGAAUUCAGAAAAACCAGGGAUGGGAAACUCUAUCUUUCAGGUGGACCUCUUCUCUCUUAUGUCCCUUCCAGAGUGGAACAAUAUAGGUCCAGGAAAGAGAUGGGGAUCAGAAAAUAAAGUUGUGGAGAAGACUGGCAAAAAGAGGGCCCUCAAGGAUCACAAUUUUAGGCAUGCUCUGCCAAGGACAAGAUAACUGCACCAUGUCCUCAGAUUCACCUGGCUUGCUUGAUAACAGUUUGACUAAAUGUGCAUCCUCUGACUCACCAGAAUCACACCCCCACUCUAUGUAUAUUGGUCUCUGUUAUUCCCCCAGGUAUAUGCCUAUAAUGGAAAAGAGGGGAGAGCUCAUAUUAGCCUUGACUCAAUCUUAAUGAAGGUUGUGGGCCCCAAGUCUGGUCCCAAUCCUAAGUAGGGGCAGGAAUAGCCAGUAUAACUGCCAUAGGCACCUCAGCCUUGAUUGUUGGGAAUCCAAAAUUUUAGGGGGCUCAGUUCCCAGAUAGACUUAGACCUAGGCCAUUUGGAGAAUUCUAUUCCCAGGCUGAAGAGUCAAAUUGACUCCCUCACAGGGGUAGUCCUACAGAACUGAAGGAGGCUAGACUUCCUUUUAUGAAACAGGGAGGAGUUUGCAUGGCCUUAGGAGAAACUUGCUGUUUCCAUGCCAACCAGUCAGUGGUACCAAUUAUAAAAUUAGGGUUUUAUAAAUGUAUCUCUGUUAUGUUUGAGUCUUAAAAAAUUAUAAUUAUUGAAUUAAAGAUUGUUUAGCAUCAAAAUAAAUUGUAAAUCAUAAAUACACUCCAUAGAGAGACUUUUUUCAGUGUACUGUUAGAAAAUGUCAGUUUUUUAUAUGACUCAGUUUCUCCAAAUACCUAAAUCUUAACAAAUAUAACAAAAAUAUUGGUUUGGGUAUGGUCCAAUUUUAAAAUAAACCAUCUUGGAAGCCUGGUGUUGCCUCCUUCGUGUAAGGAAAAUAAAAUAAAACAAACCAA